rnacentral:sRNA from 1 species
ACCUAGCCCCGAUUGCAAUGAAAAUCCUUUUUUAUAAAUCUGCGAGAGCAGUUUUAUAAAAAAGAUUGUAAUGGAAAGCGGGUACAGUU